rnacentral:rRNA from 1 species
GGAAUCUUCGGCAAUGGGGGCAACCCUGACCGAGCAACGCCGCGUGAGUGAAGAAGAUUUUCGGAUCGUAAAGCUCUGUUGUAAGAGAAGAACGUGUGUGAGAGUGGAAAGUUCACACAGUGACGGUAACUUACCAGAAAGGGACGGCUAACUACGCGCCAG